UUUUUUUUUUUUUUUUUUUUUUUUUGUCCCCAAAGGCAAAACUUUCAACAAAAUUGUUGAGCACAUCAGUGUUAAAACAUUGUCUGGAUGCUCUGCUUGCUGCUGCUGGCUGGUAGUCUGGCCUGUUGAGACCUGAGGUUUCUAGCAGAGAAUUUCAAAAUUGUCAUUUCUCUGAUGUUUUAAAUAAAUGUAGGCAGCUGUCUGAGCCAUACAUCUACCCUAGCCAAAAUAUUGUUCAUUCCAAGUGGAUUUGCUCCAUUAUAAGUUGCCUACAAAUAAUUUUAAAAAGUGACAGUAUUUUUAAAAUUAUCUUAGCUCUUUAAAUAUUGAAAUGCAUCAAAUAUUAAUGCUUAGCAAUUCAGAGUAUCCUCAGCCCUGGUUCCUGCAGUAUUCUGAUCAGCAUUCGAGCUGUUCUGCCAGCUCUGGGAUCUGAAGAGGGGGUCCUGGCUAAGGGAAGGGUCAUGGCCACCACCCCACAGGGGUUUGAAAUGGGGAGGGCCGAAGGGCUGGGCUGGUUUCAGCAGGAGCAAAGCCAAGGAGUGAGCAGGCACAGCAGAGCCAGGAGCGACCACGGGCAAACGCUGCUGGUGGCACGUCUGUCCCCAGGCCAGCAGUGUGUGCCCUGCUACAGCACGUCCACACUCGUGGGCUCCUCAGCCCCUCUCUGGCCACAGAGCCCCCCAAGGCGCAUGCAAAGGGAAGCCCACGUCGCUGUUUCUGAAUUCACAGUGAAUAUCACAGUGCUCUGGUGCUCGUCUCCUCACCUGCAGAGGCAGCUCUGCCAGCAGACAGGGAAGUGGGAGAUGUAAAAAAGCACUGCACACAGAUCUGGUGUGUCACAGGUGGAAAAGCUGCACCUGCAGAAGCCCGAGUUCAAAUGAGCACAGAUCAUAUCAGAGCAGCUCGUCCCUUUCUCCCAGCAGAAACCCCAGAACAAAAUUCAUGUCUUCUCUUUCACAAGCUGAGGAGCAGGUCUGACUCAGCUGCCUGAAGGAUCCAUCUGGGAAUGCUGAUGUGCCAUUCUGCCUGCACCUUCCCAGGCUGGUGUCCAGUGGAAGGGAGCUGGGGAAAUGGGACAGGCUCCCUGACUUCUGUAUUUACAGCUCACAUCCAGGAAACGGGAAUUUUCACAACUUGUUCAUCAGCACGUUUUCUGCAUGGCAGAUUGCCCCAAACUCUGAUCCUCAGCAGUGCCACAAGGCUGGCAGCCAAGCAGAUAAUUUGUCAGGGAAUCAGCAAGAGGGUUUUGAUGGAUUCCCCCUUUCCUUACUCCCACCCCACCUCAGCUCACCCCGUGCCAUUUGAAGCUCAGCAAAAUCAACAUGGUCUCCUGGAACAUUUCAACUUUGACUAAUCAGGAGAGUUUCUGACAGAAAAAAUGUUCCACUGGAAAAUUUUUGACCAGCACUAAUUAGCAUUUUUUCUAUUAGCUUUGUCCUGAAGGCACAGUAAUUUAUGCCUUGGUGAAAUAAACAAUCACUAAGAAUUGGACACUCCCCAGGUUCAAGGCAUAUUUGCUUACCCUAAACAGAAAAAGUCUUAUUCGCUUGCAAAACUUUACAUACUUAACACAAGGAAAGAAUGACUGCCUGACUUUCUUGUGCUUUACCUGGGCACAAGCCCAACUGCAUUUUAAUCACUUUGCUUUAAAAAACAAAGAUGGGAGAAGUGGUGGGUUUUCACUUGCAGAGCAGCAAGGUUCCAGUAACUCUGGAGACAAGCCAUGGCUGUGGAACGGGGCUGAACCACGCUCAAGGAGCUUGGAGGGAGUCACAAGAAACAAGAGCAAGACAGAAAAUGUCACCGGUGCCCUCGGAGUUCAGAUUUCCUUGCUAUUCCUCUGCCAUAUGGUUAUAUCCUACACUGAAUUUCUCACUGAACCACAGGAUAAUUAAGGCUGUGAGGGACCUAUGGAGGUCCGGCCCCUGCUCAGAGCUGGGCUGGCUUCCACCUUAGAGCAGGCUGCUCAGAGCUGUGUCCAGCUUUCCCAGGGCACAGUGCUACAUAAAUGCACCUGAGCUGCACAUCUGAAUGUGCUGGAGCCUGCCCAUCCAUCCUUUCCCCAGAAAUCCUUCCUUUUGGAGCCCUGAGCACGCCAAAUGCAGAAUGACAAGUCCCUGGCGGUCUCUGGGAAG
ensembl:lncRNA